AAACCUUAUCUGGCAGUACUUAAGAGUGCAUCUUUGACUUUAUUACUCGAGUGAAUGCACCUUCAAACCGGUUUAACACCAACAUGUCACAGUAAUCAAUACCAUCUGUGUUAAGAUGUCGGGAAUGUGUUAGACGAAUGAUUUUGUUUUAUGGAGCUUUGAAGAGCGAUGAAUGGCACUAAAGUGGUGCCAAAUGGAUAUCUCAAACACCCAUUGUUGAUGUGUGAUGCUGAUAAUACAGAGACAGCUAGAGUGACAGAGUUUGAUGAAUAAACUUAAAUUAAAAAACAGAAAUAACCACCAUCUCUCUCAGAGGUCAUCUUUCUCAUUAUUGUGGGAAACCUCAAAGGGCAUCAGGAAAACCUUCAUCAACCUCUUUGUGCCCAGUGGCUUGUGCAACAGUGUUUCAGAAAUUAUCAUUAAAAUGGGGAUAAUGGAUGACUGGCCACACAUAUGGGGCUAUGGACAAGCUUCAGAGCAGGCUGCCAGGUGGUGGUGUUAGUAGUUUAUACUCCGGGUCCCGGCGUGAGCACAUUGAAGGGUCCCAGAGUGACAGUUCAACCACCCACACCUAUCCUGGGCAGAACCAGUACUAGGUGCCUUCACCUCUGCAAGGAACUGACAGCUUCUGUACAUGCCAGGUGCAGUGGUACAGUGCGAAUGGUCGUAGAAAGGAUUUCAUAACCAAUCACAACAGAGGUCACCUGGUCCGCCCGGGAAUCGAACCCGGGAUGUCCAAUUCAGAGUCCAACGCUCUACCGAUUGAGCUGACCGGGCGGACAUAUUAGCUACAUUAGAUGACAAGCCAUCUAUGCUGGACAUUCUUCACAAUAAAAUGUGAUGUCACAGGAGCUGUCUAUCUCAACAGCUCACACUGUCCGUAUUUGACUAAAGGAAUGAAUGAAGUCACUGCAGAAGUUAGAUUGAGGAAUGUCCAUGUCACUACCCAUCAUUUGGAAGGAGUUGGAUAAAAAAAGUGUGGCCUAUGUAUUGAAACAGGUCCGAUUUCCAGUUACGGACAGUCUUGAUUUGUCUGAUUACAUUUUUGACCAACAUGAUGGUCUAAAAGAACACUUACUGGUAACUGGUAAAAUCAUGGCCCAGUUGUUCCAAGAGGCAGGCGAGUGGGAAGUUACUAGACUCCAUUUCUUUAUGGGUUGAUCUGAGGUUCCAGUUCAGUUAAAGUACUGAUAGAACACCAAGUGUUUGCCAUAAUACAGCAACAUUUCAUUUGUAACUAUGUAUUUGUUUGAAUUGUUGAAACAGUACUGUUUACUAAAUAAUGUGUAUGUAUAUGAAGAAUAAUAUUAUAAAUAAUUUGUAAGAACCUUUUGAUAUUAAGUAAAAUGUCGAUAAGUCUAAAUAUGUAUCUGCGAAUCAUUUUUGUAUAUCUGUAAAGAUUACAUUGCCUAUAUUCCUCAAUUUAUAUUUUUCUUUUAGCCAGUCAAUAACUUUGUUAAGUUCUAUCUUCAAAAUUGUCGGGACAGGGAUUAUAGCCCUUAAUUAACCCAAAUAUGUAACAUUCAAUGCAAAAUUGGCUGCAAUUAGGCAGUUCAGAUGCAGGAACAAACAUCACUUGGGUCCUUAAUAAUAGCUUUCCAUCUGACAUUGAAGAUCCAAUAAAAGGAAUUUGUCAUGUGACUGUUUAUUAACUCUCAAUUUAUUGAAAGUGAAAUUACUUACAUGAUUUGUAAGAACUAAAUUAUAAUGAUAUCAAAUGAUUGUUUAAAUUAAAUAAAAUAGAUGAUUACAUACAUGAACUAUUUUUAUUUCUUGUUUGUCAAUAUGAAGAGUAAUGCAAUGGCUUUUGAAUUUCAUAAAAAAGGAUGGAAAAAUGUAUGUUUAUUGUUUAAGCAAUUAAUUAAGUAAUAAAAGUUUUUUUUUUU